rnacentral:rRNA from 1 species
UACUAUGGAGAGUUUGAUCCUGGCUCAGGAAGAACGCUAGCGGCAGGCCUUAUACAUGCAAGUCGAGGGGCAGCAUUUACUUCGGUAAAUGGCGACCGGCGCACGGGUGAGUAACGCGUAUGCAACCUACCUUUAACUGGGGCAUAGCUCGAGGAAACUCGAAUUAAUUCCCCAUAGUACAAUACAAUAUCGCAUGAUAUAAUUGUUAAAGAUUUAUCGGUUAAAGAUGGGCAUGCGUCUGAUUAGUUUGUUGGUGAGGUAACGGCUCACCAAGACUACGAUCAGUAGGGGGUCUGAGAGGAUGAUCCCCCACACUGGUACUGAGACACGGACCAGACGUCUACGGACGGCAGCAGUAAGGAAUAUUGGGCAAUGGGCGCAAGCCUGACCCAGCCAUGCCGCGUGCAGGAUGACGACCCUAUGGGUUGUAAACUGCUUUUAUAUAGGAAGAAAAUACUCUUGCGAGAGAAACUGACGGUACUAUAUGAAUAAGGACCGGCUAACUCCGUGCCAGCAGCCGCGGUAAUACGGAGGGUUCAAGCGUUUUCCGGAUUUAUUGGGUUUAAAGAGUGCGUAGGUGGUUUAUUAAGUCAGUGGUGAAAUCCUGCAGCUCAACUGUAGAACUGCCAUUGAUACUGGUAAACUUGAGUUUGGUUUAGGUAAGUGGAAUUUAUGAUGUAGCGGUGAAAUGCAUAGAUAUCAUAAGGAACACCAAUAGCGAAGGCAGCUUACUGGACCAUAACUGACACUGAGGCACGAAAGCGUGGGUAGCGAACAGGAUUAGAUACCCUGGUAGUCCACGCCGUAAACGAUGCUCACUCGAUGUUAGCGAUAUACUGUUAGCGUCCAAGCUAAAGCGUUAAGUGAGCCACCUGGGGAGUACGCCGGCAACGGUGAAACUCAAAGGAAUUGACGGGGGUCCGCACAAGCGGUGGAGUAUGUGGUUUAAUUCGAUGCAACGCGAAGAACCUUACCAGGGUUUGACAUGGUGUUAAUUCUUUGAAAAAAGAAGUACCGUUCGCGGUAGACACACACAGGUGGUGCAUGGCUGUCGUCAGCUCGUGUCGUGAGAUGUUGGGUUAAGUCCCGCAACGAGCGCAA